UCUUUGUAACCUUGUUUUUUUUUCUUAGGGAUCAUGAAAAAACAUUACGCCACAGAAAUCUUUCAUUGGUUGAAAUGCCUGAUUACUCCUACAUAGAUGGUAGACCAACAGAACUUGGUGACAUGCAAAAAUUAAGACAAGAAAAAAACUAUGCAUUGACGAAACAUAUUGUUCAGCUUUUAGUAGAAAUGAAAAUGGCUCAAAAUGAACUUAUAGCCAACACAAGACAAGAAGAAGAGACUCUGCAGAAAAGAUUAGCGUCAGCUCUAAAUGCCAAAGGCACAGACUUAUGAUCUUUAUGUAGAAUUUUUCCUUUUAAAAUAAAAAAAUUGGUGAUUAUAUGU
rnacentral:sRNA from 1 species